GGGCGGUUAGCUCAGUUGGUUAGAGUACCACGUUGACAUCGUGGGGGUCACUGGUUCGAAUCCAGUACCGCCCA
rnacentral:tRNA from 4 species